rnacentral:lncRNA from 1 species
UCCUUCUCCUCCUUCUUCUCCUUCUUCUCCUUCUUCUUCUUAUCCUUUUGUCCCCUUCUUCUUCUUCUCCUCCUCCCUCUCCUCCUUCUUCUUCUCCUUUUUCCUCUUCCUUCCUUUCAUUUUCCUCUUUUUCUCUUCUUAKUCCCGUUCUUCGGGCUAAAUUGGCUAAGAAUGCCUUUUUGGAGCUAAUUAUGUCAUUUUGAGGAUAAUUAGCUAAGUAUAGGUCAUUUUUUAUUAAAUAGGACAUUUUGG